CAGCAGCCGCGGUAAUACGAAGGGGGCUAGCGUUGUUCGGAAUUACUGGGCGUAAAGCGUGCGCAGGCGGUUCGUUAAGACAGAUGUGAAAUCCCCGGGCUUAACCUGGGAACUGCAUUUGUGACUGGCGAGCUAGAGUAUGGCAGAGGGGGGUAGAAUUCCACGUGUAGCAGUGAAAUGCGUAGAGAUGUGGAGGAAUACCGAUGGCGAAGGCAGCCCCCUGGGCCAAUACUGACGCUCAUGCACGAAAGCGUGGGGAGCAAACAGGAUUAGAUACCCGCGUAGUCCCUGUCUCUUAUAA
rnacentral:rRNA from 1 species